rnacentral:rRNA from 1 species
GGGAACCUCACCCGGCCCGGACACCGCGAGGAUUGACAGACUGAGAGCUCUUUCUCGAUUCGGUGGGUGGUGGUGCAUGGCCGUUCUUAGUUGGUGGAGCGAUCUGUCUGGUUAAUUCCGAUAACGAACGAGACUCUGUCCUGCUAAAUAGUGUCCGCUUCUCUUUUGAGCAGACAAUUCUUCUUAGAGGGACUGGCGACUCUUAGUCGCACAAGAUUGAGUAAUAA